UACGAGGGGGCAAAUGUUGUUCGGAAUCACUGGGCGUAAAGGGAGCGUAGGCGGGUUUUAAGUCAGGUGUUUAAUCCCGGGGCCCAACCCCGGACCGGCACUGAAACUGGGAAUCUUGAAUAGUGGAGAGGUCAGUGGAAUUGGGGGUGUAGCGGUGGAAUGCGUAGAGAUCCCCAAGAACACCAGUUGCCGAAGGCGGCUGACUGGACACAUAUUGACGCUGAGGCUCGAAAGCAUGGGGAGCAAACAGG
rnacentral:rRNA from 1 species